rnacentral:rRNA from 1 species
GAGUAAAGUCGUAACAAGGUUUCCGUAGGUGAACCUGCGGAAGGAUCAUUAUUGAAAUAAAUCUGAUAGGUUGCUGCUGGUUCUCUAGGGAGCAUGUGCACACUUGUCAUCUUUGUAUCUUCACCUGUGCAUCUCUUGUAGACCUGAUUAUCUCUCUGAUUGCUUUUUAGCACUCAGGAUUGAGGAUUGACCUCUGUCUUUUCUUGCAUUUUCAGGUUUAUGUUUUUUCAUAUACUCUAAUGUAUGUUUAUAGAAUGUAAUCAAUGGGCCUUUUGUGCCUAUAAGUUUUUACAACUUUCAGCAACGGAUCUCUUGGCUCUCGCAUCGAUGAAGAACGCAGCGAAAUGCGAUAAGUAAUGUGAAUUGCAGAAUUCAGUGAAUCAUCGAAUCUUUGAACGCACCUUGCGCUCUUUGGUAUUCCGAAGAGCAUGCCUGUUUGAGUGUCAUUAAUAUAUCAACCUUCUUUGGUUGGAUGGUGGGUUUGCUGGCUUCUUGAGGUCAGCUCCCCUUAAAUGCAUUAGCGGACAACAUUUUGCCAACCGUUCAUUGGUGUGAUAAUUAUCUACGCUAUUGACGUGAAGCAAGGUUUAGCUUCUAACAGUCCAUUGAUUUGGACAAUUUUAUUAUUAAUGUGGCCUCAAAUCAGGAGGACUACCCGUCGACUA